UGGCGGACGGGGGAGUAACGCGUGGGUAACCUGCCUUGUACUGGGGACAACAGUUAGAAAUGACUGCUAAUACCGCAUAAGCGCACAGGACCGCAUGGUCUAGUGUGAAAAACUCCGGUGGUGUGAGAUGGACCCGCGUUUGAUUAGCUAGUUGGUGGGGUAACGGCCUACCAAGGCGACGAUCAAUAGCCGACCUGAGAGGGUGACCGGCCACAUUGGGACUGAGACACGGCCCAA
rnacentral:rRNA from 1 species